AUUGAACGCUGGCGGCAUGCCUUACACAUGCAAGUCGAACGGUAGCGGGCCUUCGGGUGCCGACGAGUGGCGAACGGGUGAGUAAUGUAUCGGAACGUACCUUUCAGUGGGGGAUAACGUAGCUAAAGUUGCGCUAAUACCGCAUAUUCUGUGAGCAGGAAAGCAGGGGAUCGCAAGACCUUGAGCUGAUGGAGCGGCCGAUAUCCGAUUAGCGAGUGGGUGAGGUAAAGGCUUACCAAGGCGACGAUCUGUAGCGGGUCUGGGAGGAUGAUCCGCCACACUGGAACUGAGACACGGUCCAGACUCCUACGGGAGGCAGCAGUGGGGAAUUUUGGACAAUGGGGGCAACCCUGAUCCAGCCAUGCCGCGUGAGUGAAGAAGGCCUUCGGGUUGUAAAGCUCUUUCGGCCGGGAAGAAAUCGUAUCAGCUAAUACCUGGUGCGGAUGACGGUACCGGCAUAAGAAGCACCGGCUAACUACGUGCCAGCCGCCGCAGUAA
rnacentral:rRNA from 1 species